ensembl:lncRNA
CCCCCAGCUUGUACUGAUAGUUGGGGAUGCUGCAACCCCGAUGAAAGACCUUGCACUUGGGUUAAUUGAACCUCGUGGCUGGACAAGUAUUAUGGGAGAAGUCUCAUUCUACAGAUGUCUACGGAUGUUUGGUAAAUAAUAUAUACACAACAGAGGCUCUCAUGCAAUAUCUGCUUCAGGAAAAUUAAAUAAUAUCCUCACUAAUCUUAGGCUUAGCCAGCCAUCAGUGUUGUAAAUGCUUGUGUACUGAAUAUAUGACUCAUCCAGUAUAUCUUACUGAUCAACACAGAACAUCAUAUUCCAGCGUAAAUGUGGCUGUAAGAAGGAGCCUGUAAAGGUAGAAAUCUCAAUGACUACAGCUUAGUGGGAGCCAGGAAGUAUCACCUAUGGAACCCAUUAGUAGAACAGCGGGGAAAAAAACUGUUUAGUUAAAGGGCCAGGAAGGACAAAUUCUCUUUGUUGGCAAAAGUCAUUAAUGAAAAAGUCCUAUUAAGGAAAAACCUCUAGGUUAUAUAGAAGUUAUAUAUGUGGUUUAAUGAUUUUGGUUCUGACACUGAGUCUUAAAAUGCCAUCCUUUAUCAUGUACACCGAGAAAAAUGGCUGAUUAAUGUCAGCAUAGUGAAUCCCAAACAACGUUGACCAAGACAAGUGAGGGAGGAGGUUGAGUUGAAGAAUGUCACCUCAUGCCUGCAGCACUGGUGCUCUUUUUGUGUAUCUGACCUGGAUUUCCCCUUGGACUCUGGCUACAAACACCACAAGUCAAAGAGGGAAGAGCUCUGAGGAAAGUUUCUUGCCACAUAGACUACUCCCAAAGCUGCACAAUGGUAUGAGAUGCUUUUGGAAGAAGACUUUUUCAUAUUGAAGAUAUCAUAGAAUGUCAGCAUGGUACCUUUUGAUACCUCAUUUUGUACUAAAUAAAGUUGCAGUAGUGGAGUAACAGAAGUCAGUGUGAGACACUAUAGGAAGGGAAGGCUUUGUUUCCAAUCACACUGAUUUUGCUCAUUCAGACAUAGCCAAAUAUUCACAAGCACUAGUACACAUUUGUUCAUAUGGUUUGGUUUUCUUGCAGUGACACAGAAUGCAGGACACAGGCUCUACAGUCUUCAUUAUGUCCCCUGGGUUUUUCAUAGUUUGGUCACUACAUGUUCAUUUUAGACACAUUUUCUACAUCCUUCAGGAACUGACAGUAUUUGUGGUCUUUUGUUUCUACAUCUUUUCACACCUCUGAGUAUCAUUACAUCUUGCUGUCUUUUGUCUCCUCAUCUACGUAUCUUAUGGUUCAUCUGCAUUCUUUUUUUCAUACCACCAUCAUCUCCAAUGAUUUAAUUUUGUGCUGGGAACUUAAUGAUCUUCUAAUCAAGCUGCCAUCACUAUAUGCUGUUCUUGUAGCCCUUCUGCCUUUCUUCCAAAUGCUUCCACAUCCAGAGCUCUCCUUCCAUUUAUACCAAUCCCACUGCUUCUUUUACAGUGUAAAGGAAGUUAUGGCCUCUAGUGAUAAAGUGAUUAUCCCUGGUAAAGCAAUGAAUUCUGGAUCCAGUGCCAUAUCAUGAAGAAAACAAAUUCAAAAGCAAUAAAAAAUGAUUUAUCUUUUGUUCUCCUUUCAAAAUCAUUUCCUGCUUUAUGAGAACAAUGUUUCUUCAUAAAAGUAAUUAGCUGUCAGAUUUAAUAAACAAUAAAUAUAUCU